rnacentral:rRNA from 1 species
GAUGAACGCUAGCGACAGGCCUAACACAUGCAAGUCGAGGGGCAGCACAUGAGUAGCAAUACGAUGGUGGCGACCGGCGCACGGGUGAGUAACACGUAUGCAACCUGCCUUCUACUAUGGGAUAACCCGUUGAAAGACGGACUAAUACCGUAUAAUACAGGGGCUCCGCAUGGAGAUAUUUGUUAAAGAUUUAUUGGUAGAAGAUGGGCAUGCGUAUGAUUAGAUAGUUGGUGAGGUAAUGGCUCACCAAGUCAACGAUCAUUAGGGGUUCUGAGAGGAAGGUCCCCCACACUGGGACUGAGACACGGACCAGACUCCUACGGGAAGCAGCAGUGAGGAAUAUUGGUAAAUGGACGAGAGUCUGAACCAGCCAAGUCGCGUGAAGGAAGACGGUUCUAUGAAUUGUAAACUUCUUUUGUGCAGGAAUAAAGUGGGUUACGUGUAACCUUUUGUAUGUACUGUACGAAUAAGGAUCGGCUAACUCCGUGCCAGCAGCCGCCGCAG